rnacentral:rRNA from 1 species
AAACCAACCGGGAUUGCCUUAGUAACGGCGAGUGAAGCGGCAAAAGCUCAAAUUUGAAAUCUGGUACCUUCGGUGCCCGAGUUGUAAUUUGGAGAGGGCAACUUUGGGGCCGUUCCUUGUCUAUGUUCCUUGGAACAGGACGUCAUAGAGGGUGAGAAUCCCGUGUGGCGAGGAGUGCGGUUCUUUGUAAAGUGCCUUCGAAGAGUCGAGUUGUUUGGGAAUGCAGCUCUAAGUGGGUGGUAAAUUCCAUCUAAAGCUAAAUAUUGGCGAGAGACCGAUAGCGAACAAGUACAGUGAUGGAAAGAUGAAAAGAACUUUGAAAAGAGAGUGAAAAAGUACGUGAAAUUGUUGAAAGGGAAGGGCAUUUGAUCAGACAUGGUGUUUUGUGCCCUCUGCUCCUUGUGGGUAGGGGAAUCUCGCAUUUCACUGGGCCAGCAUCAGCUUUGGUGGCAGGAUAAAUCCAUAGGAAUGUAGCUUGCCUCGGUAAGUAUUAUAGCCUGUGGGAAUACUGCCAGCUGGGACUGAGGACUGCGACGUAAGUCAAGGAUGCUGGCAUAAUGGUUAUAUGCCGC